rnacentral:rRNA from 1 species
GACGAACGCUGGCGGCGGGCUUAACACAUGCAAGUCGAACGGAAAGGCCCUGCGUUUGUGGGGUGCUCGAGGGGCGAACGGGUGAGGAACACGUGAGUAACCGGCCCUUGACUUUGGGAUAACUUCAGGAAACUGGGGCUAAUACCGGAUAGGAGCUCCUGCUGCAUGGUGGGGGGUGGAAAGUUUCGGCGGGUGGGGAUGGACUCGCGGCUUAUCAGCUUGUUGGUGGGGUAGUGGCUUGCCAAGGCUUUGACGGGUAGCCGGCCUGAGAGGGUGACCGGCCACAUUGGGACUGAGAUACGGCCCAGACUCCUAAGAGAGGAAGCAGUGGGGAAUAUUGCACCAUGGGCGGAAGCCUGAUGCAGCAACGCCGCGUGCGGGAUGACGGCCUUCGGGUUGUAAACCGCUUUCGCCUGUGACGCAGCGUGAGUGACGGUAAUGGGUAAAGAAGCCCCGGCUAACUACGUG